GAUCGGCCCGCGUCUGAUUAGCUUGUUGGUGGGGUAACGGCCUACCAAGGCGACGAUCAGUAGCUGGUCUGAGAGGAUGAUCAGCCACACUGGGACUGAGACACGGCCCAGACUCCUACGGGAGGCAGCAGUGGUGAAUAUUGGACAAUGGGCGCAAGCCUGAUCCAGCCAUGCCGCGUGAGUGAUGAAGGCCUUAGGGUUGUAAAGCUCUUUUGUCCGGGACGAUAAUGACGGUACCGGAAGAAUAAGCCCCGGCUAACUUCGUGCCAGCAGCCGCGGUAAUACGAAGGGGGCUAGCGUUGCUCGGAAUCACUGGGCGUAAAGGGCGCGUAGGCGGCCGAUUAAGUCGGGGGUGAAAGCCUGUGGCUCAACCACAGAAUUGCCUUCGAUACUGGUUGGCUUGAGACCGGAAGAGGACAGCGGAACUGCGAGUGUAGAGGUGAAAUUCGUAGAUAUUCGCAAGAACACCAGUGGCGAAGGCGGCUGUCUGGUCCGGUUCUGACGCUGAGGCGCGAAAGCGUGGGGAGCAAACAGGAUUAGAUACCCUAGUAGUCCACGCC
rnacentral:rRNA from 1 species